rnacentral:rRNA from 1 species
ACGCACGCUGGCGGCGUGCUUAACACAUGCAAGUCGAACGGAAAGGCCCUGCUUGCAGGGUGCUCGAGUGGCGAACGGGUGAGUAACACGUGGGUGAUCUGCCCCUUACUUUGGGAUAAGCCUGGGAAACUGGGACUAAUACUGGAUAGGACCAUGCUGUAGGUGGUGUGGUGGAAAGAUUAGUUUCGGUAAGGGAUGAGCUCGCGGCCUAUCAGCUUGUUGGUGGGGUAAUGGCCUACCAAGGCGUCGACGGGUAGCCGGCCUGAGAGGGUGGACGGCCACAUUGGGACUGAGAUACGGCCCAGACUCCUACGGGAGGCAGCAGUGGGGAAUAUUGCACAAUGGGCGCAAGCCUGAUGCAGCGACGCCGCGUGGGGGAUGACGGCCUUCGGGUUGUAAACUCCUUUCAGCCAUGACGAAGCCCUUGUGGUGACGGUAGUGGUAGAAGAAGCACCGGCUAACUACGUG